rnacentral:rRNA from 1 species
GGAUUAGAUACCCUGGUAGUCCACGCCGUAAACGAUGUCUACUAGCCGUUGGGGUACUUGAUACCUUAGUGGCGCAGCUAACGCACUAAGUAGACCGCCUGGGGAGUACGGCCGCAAGGUUAAAACUCAAAUGAAUUGACGGGGGCCCGCACAAGCGGUGGAGCAUGUGGUUUAAUUCGAUGCAACGCGAAGAACCUUACCAGGUCUUGACAUCCUCGGAACUUAGCAGAGAUGCUUUGGUGCCUUCGGGAACCGAGUGACAGGUGCUGCAUGGCUGUCGUCAGCUCGUGCCG